AUCCAUACCGUUGGAUGCGAGUCAUUACAAAGAAGAUUAGCAUGGUCCUUGCGCAAGGAUGACACGCACAAAUCAAGAAAUGGUCCAAAUUUUU
rnacentral:snRNA from 1 species